AGCAGGGUGGCGCACUGGAAGCGUGCUGGACCCAUAACUCAUAGGUCUAUGGAUCGAGACCAUUUCAUGCUA
rnacentral:tRNA from 1 species